rnacentral:tRNA from 1 species
GCCGGUGUGGCGGAAUUGGCAGACGCGGCGGAUUCAAAAUCCGCUUCGGGUAAAACCGAGUGUGGGUUCGAGUCCCUCCACCGGCA